rnacentral:rRNA from 1 species
CCUACGGGUGGCAGCAGUGGGGAAUAUUGCACAAUGGGGGGAACCCUGAUGCAGCAAUGCCGCGUGAAGGAUGAAGGUCUUCGGAUCGUAAACUUCUUUUGUACGGGACGAAGGAAGUGACGGUACCGUAAGAAUAAGCCACGGCUAACUACGGGCCAACAGCCGCGGUAAUACGUAGGUGGAAAGCGUUAACCGGAUUUACUGGGAGUAAGGGGCGAGUAGGCGGGGUGUGAAGUCAGAUGUGAAAACUAUGGGCUCAACCGAUAGAGUGCAUUUGAAACUGCCGUUCUUGAGUGAUGAAGAGGCGGGCGGAAUUCCAGGUGUAGCGGUGGAAUGCGUAGAUAUAGGGAGGAACACCAGUGGCGAAGGCGGCCUGCUGGACAUUAACUGACGCUGAGGCGCGAAAGCGUGGGGAGCAAACAGGAUUAGAUACCCGAGUAGUC